UUCCUUUCUCUCUGUUGGCCAUGUUAGGAUACAGUGAGAAGGUGGCCACCUGCAAAUCAGGAAGCAAGCCCUCACUGGGGAAUGGAGCACCUUGAUCUUAUACUUCCUGGUCUUCAAAACCAUGAGAAGUAAAUUUCUGCUGUGUAAGCCACCAACUGUAGGCUAUUUUGUUAUGGCAGCCCAUACUGACUAAUACUACAUCCUACUAAAACUUUCCAACAAAAAUUUGAAAGUUCCCAUCCAAAAAUUCAAAAUUCAAGGGUGGAAUUAAAAAAACUCAAACUUCAGGAUCCAGUAGAGUCCCACUUUCAAAAUGGCCUAACACUUCUGUGAGAACAAGAGAGGACUUGCUUAGAGACAUGUGGAAGAAGAAAAGUCAUGUUUCCAGCUUGGACUGCUGUUUCAUCUGCUAGACCUGCUUGUGCCAGCCAUCACCCACUCUUGCCUGAUUCAGAAAUUCCCUGGGAGGACUGGAGCAUUUGUAAACGUGUAAAAUAUGAUCACAGCCCUUGCACAAGUAUUUUAACAAC